rnacentral:rRNA from 1 species
GACGAACGCUGGCGGCGUGCUUAACACAUGCAAGUCGAACGGAAAGGCCCUGCUUUUGUGGGGUGCUCGAGUGGCGAACGGGUGAGUAACACGUGAGUAACCUGCCCUUGACUUUGGGAUAACUUCAGGAAACUGGGGCUAAUACCGGAUAGGAGCUCCUGCUGCAUGGUGGGGGUUGGAAAGUUUCGGCGGUUGGGGAUGGACUCGCGGCUUAUCAGCUUGUUGGUUGGGUAGUGGCUUACCAAGGCUUUGACGGGUAGCCGGCCUGAGAGGGUGACCGGCGACAUUGGGACUGCGAUACGGCGCAGACUCCUACGGGAGGCAGCAGUGGGGAAUAUGGCACAAUGGGCGGAAGCCUGAUGAAGCAACGCCGCGUGCGGGAUGACGGCCUUCGGGUGGUAAACCGCUGUCGCCUGUGACGAAGCGUGAGUGACGGUAAUGGGUAAAGAAGCACCGGCUAACUACGUG